rnacentral:rRNA from 1 species
GAUGAACGCUGGCGGCGUGCCUAAUACAUGCAAGUCGAGCGAACAGAUAAGGAGCUUGCUCCUUUGACGUUAGCGGCGGACGGGUGAGUAACACGUGGUUAACCUACCUAUAAGACUGGAAUAACUCCGGGAAACCGGUGCUAAUGCCGGAUAACAUUUAGAACCGCAUGGUUCUAAAGUGCAAGAUGGUUUUGCUAUCACUUAUAGAUGGACCCGCUCGGUAUUAGCUAGUUGUUAAGGUAACGGCUUACCAAGGCAACGAUACGUAGCCGACCUGAGAGGGUGAUCGGCCAAACUGGAACGGAGACACGGUCAAGACGCCUACGGGAGGAAGCAGUAGGGAAUGUGACGCAAUGGGCGAAAGCAUGACGGAGCAACGCCGAGUGAGUGAUGAAGGUCUGCGGAUCGUAAAACUCUGUUAUUAGGGAAGAACAAAUGUGUAAGUAACUGUGCACGUCUUGACGGUACCUAAUCAGAAAGCCACGGCUAACUACGUG